UUUGUCCUACGGGGCGCAGCAGUGGGGAAUAUUGGGCAAUGGGCGCAAGCCUGACCCAGCAACGCCGCGUGAAGGAAGAAGGCUUUCGGGUUGUAAACUUCUUUUCUCAGGGACGAAGAAAGUGACGGCACCUGAGGAAUAAGCCACGGCUAACUACGUGCCAGCAGCCGCGGUAAUACGUGGGUGGCAAGCGUUAUCCGGAUUUAUUGGGUGUAAAGGGCGUGUAGGCGGGAGCGCAGGUCAGAUGUGAAAACUCAGGGCUCAACCCUGAGCCUGCAUUUGAAACUGUGUUUCUUGA
rnacentral:rRNA from 1 species